rnacentral:rRNA from 1 species
GCUUGCUGGGGUGAUUAGUGGCGAACGGGUGAGUAACACGUGAGUAACCUGCCCUUAACUCUGGGAUAAGCCUGGGAAACUGGGUCUAAUACCGGAUAUGACUCCUCAUCGCAUGGUGGGGGGUGGAAAGCUUUAUUGUGGUUUUGGAUGGACUCGCGGCCUAUCAGCUUGUUGGUGAGGUAAUGGCUCACCAAGGCGACGACGGGUAGCCGGCCUGAGAGGGUGACCGGCCACACUGGGACUGAGACACGGCCCAGACUCCUACGGGAGGCAGCAGUGGGGAAUAUUGCACAAUGGGCGAAAGCCUGAUGCAGCGACGCCGCGUGAGGGAUGACGGCCUUCGGGUUGUAAACCUCUUUCAGUAGGGAAGAAGCGAAAGUGACGGUACCUGCAGAAGAAGCGCCGGCUAACUACGUGCCAGCAGCCGCGGUAAUACGUAGGGCGCAAGCGUUAUCCGGAAUUAUUGGGCGUAAAGAGCUCGUAGGCGGUUUGUCGCGUCUGCCGUGAAAGUCCGGGGCUCAACUCCGGAUCUGCGGUGGGUACGGGCAGACUAGAGUGAUGUAGGGGAGACUGGAAUUCCUGGUGUAGCGGUGAAAUGCGCAGAUAUCAGGAGGAACACCGAUGGCGAAGGCAGGUCUCUGGGCAUUAACUGACGCUGAGGAGCGAAAGCAUGGGGAGCGAACAGGAUUAGAUACCCUGGUAGUCCAUGCCGUA